UACGUAGGUGGCGAGCGUUAUCCGGAUUCAUUGGGCGUAAAGGGUCCGCAGGGGGUUUGCUAAGUCUGAUGUGAAAUCCCAAGGCUCAACCUUGGAACUGCAUUGGAAACUGGUAAACUAGAGUUUUGGAGAGGUAAGCGGAAUUUCUGGUGUAGCGGUGGAAUGCGUAGAUAUCAGAAAGAACACCGAUAGCGAAGGCAGCUUACUGGACAAAUACUGACCCUCAGGGACGAAAGCGUGGGGAGCGAAC
rnacentral:rRNA from 1 species